UGGCGGCGCGUUUAAGCAUGCAAGUCGAGCGGCAAGGGCCGUCGGGCCCCUAGAGCGGCGGACGGGUGAGUAACACGUGGACAAUCUGCCCCCCGGCCCCGGGAUAGCCCAGGGAAACCUGGAUUAAUACCGGAUGAGACGGGACCCGCGAUGGCGGGACCCGGGAAAGGCGCUGCGGCGCCGCCGGGGGAUGAGUCUGCGUCCCAUUAGCUAGACGGCGGGGUAACGGCCCACCGUGGCGACGAUGGGUAGCCGGCCUGAGAGGGUGGACGGCCACAUUGGAACUGAGACACGGUCCAGACUCCUACGGGAGGCAGCAGCUAAGAAUCUUCCGCAAUGGGCGAAAGCCUGACGGAAGCGACGCCGCGUGAACGAAGAAGGCCGUGAGGUUGUAAAGUUCUUUUCGGGAGGGGAACAACCGUGGCAGGGAAUGGCCGCGGGAUGACGUGAAUCCCGGAAUAACGCCCCGGCUAACUACGUGCCAGCCGCCGC
rnacentral:rRNA from 1 species